rnacentral:snRNA from 1 species
GUGUUCACUGAAGCAGCACAUAUACUGAAAAUUGGAAGAAUUCAGUAAAGGUUAGUCUGGGCCCAUACAGGAUGGCAUGCAAAUAUGUGAAGCUGUUUCAUGUAUUU